rnacentral:rRNA from 1 species
GGGGGGGGGGGGGGGGGGGCGGGGGGGGUGGGGGGCGGACGGGAGGGGGCGGGGGGUGUGGGGGGCUCGGGGGGGGGAAGGGUGGGUAACACUGGGGUCACGUGACGUUGACUGUGGGGUGACGUACGGAAACUGGGGCGAAUCCCGGAUCGGACGUCCUUCUGGAUUGGGUGGGUGGGUAAAUUUCGGCGGUUGGGGCUGGUCUCGCGGCGUUUCAGCUUGUGUGUGGGGUGGUGGCUUUCCAGGGCUAUGACGGGUAGCCGGUCUGCGAGGGUGACCGGCCACAUUGGGACUGAGAUACGGCCCAGACUCCUACGGGAGGCAGCAGUGGGGAAUAUUGCACAAUGGGCGGAAGCCUGAUGCAGCAACGCCGCGUGCGGGAUGACGGCCUUCGGGUUGUAAACCGCUUUCGCCUGUGACGAAGCGUGAGUGACGGUAAUGGGUAAAGAAGCACCGGCUAACUACGUG